rnacentral:lncRNA from 1 species
UGGUCACCACAGGUGCACAGAUUGCUGCACUCAUACAGCAAAUGAAGAUUUUGACUAAGACGGUCCAAAACCUCCAACAGCAGUAACAACCGCCAGUGGAACAGUCGGUGGCUCAGUCAGUGCCAUCCAAGCACAGCCGCCGUCCUCCACAGUGCUCACCCUCUUCAUCUCUGGAGCGACAACCGCCUCGACACUCCCAUU